GCGAGCGGGGCGGUGUCUGUAAAUAGCGGGGAGGGGCGAAGGUGUUUCAGAAGCGUAAAGAGACGCCGUGGCUGAGGCAGGCCCUGCGACGACGGCGUCGGCCUCCGAGCGCAGCCGAAGCGUGCGCCCCGAGGAGCCGGGCAUUCUUAGGAGAAUGCUGUUUCUGUACUCCUGACUUCCCGUCACGCCAGGGACACGUGGCUUGGAGCACAGCAGCCGGAUUCCUCACUUAGCCGUGUCAGCUUGGUGCAGGUUACGAAUUACAGGGUGACUUGGAAACCCAGAAACAAAGGGAAGAAGCUGGAUGGGGAAGAAAGGCUGCAGAGCUUCCUGCAACGGGCUGCGAGCGCAAAGAGCGAGGAGGCAGCGGAAGACCGGACUCAGGAAUCGGAACGGUUUUCUUGGGUUUAAGAAGCUCGAAUGGCGCUUCAAGACAUUUAUAUCAGACCUGGUUUAAUUUCAUUACCCUUUUUUUUUACAUCCACAAAAAAACCCCAGCCCUCCCCCCCCCCACCUCCAGGAUCCAUCGCUGCUGCUGCCGUGCGUGACGAGAAGCCGUCUUCCCUCUGCCCGGAGCAGCUGAGAGAUGGAGCAGCACCCCAAAGGACUUUCUGCU